UCAAUGAAUUACAGAAUUGCUUCUAUUCUGGGGUGGGGGGGAGCCUCUUUCAUUUUCUGUUUAAUAUAAUUUUGGCAGCUGUUUUAUCUACAGGAUGAAUCCUUAAGUAGUAACAAAAUUGAAAUUACAUGUUUAUGAAGAUGAAUCUGUACAUAAGCAAAGAAGGAAUUUUACCCAAGCAAAAUACACCCAUUACUCAAGUGUUUCUCAUGUUUUACACCUUGUGCUAUAAUUUAGAGCUUGAUUGACUCUGAAAAAUAUCCUCAGCUGGCUAAAUGGGGAACAGUAAGCCCUCUGCUAAUAUUACAGGAGCUGUUUAUUGACUUAUCUUCUGAGAACGGGAAAGAAAAUGAAAAUAAAACACAGUGUGAUUAUGCUAAUUUGAUGUGCACAUAGGAAGAGGAUCACACUUAUUCUCCCUCCAUGUCUUUCAAUCUCAAGGGAACUGAGUUUCUGAGUGAAAACAAACAGAGGAAAACUGGUAGCUUGCUAGAAAAUUUAAAUAAACAGCAACUACCAAAUGAUUUGCAGGUGUCAAGAAGGUCUGGCAACUACAAGAAGCUCCAUUGCCUGACCUUGCUGUUUGUGGGCAGGGAUGUGCAAGAAUUUUUUGUUUCGUUGCUCCAUUUGUUUUUACUAUUUAAAAUUUGGUUCAUUGCAAUGUUGUUUCAUUGUGGCCACCAUUUGUUUCAUGAUAGCCCAUUUUUAAUUCCCCAUUUGUUUUGGGUUCAGGGCAGGGCCUUACCUUUUAGGGGGGCAGAGUGACAGCAUCCCCUCCCCUUCUAUUAGGAAAAGGAUCAGCAAAUUCCUUUUGGUAGUAGCCAUCUCCCCCCCACCCACCCCCCACACAAUGCCCCACAUGUUACUUUGGUCCAGAGGAGAUCAUGGAAUUACAAGCUGAUUGGCUUUACAUCUGCUCCAGGCAUUUGGAAGAAGAAGCAUAAGGAAGAACAUGCUGUGCUGCAAGGGAACCAGCAUGGUUUCUGCAAAAUGAUGUCAUCAUGCAGCCGGCCCGGGCUGCUCUUCAAGAGGCUGGGGGGGGAGCCCCCGCUGCUACUGUCACUAUCUCCACUGCCACCUCCACUGCCGCUACCUCCACCAUUCCCCGCUGGAAAAAUCAAGCUUGUUCUAGUAUUGCUGAAAACAUGAACAAAUCUUGCUCUAAGAGAGAGCCUACACAGAAUGAUGCUUAUUAGCACAUAGCAUCUCAACAUCAACUUUGGAAGACAGAAUAUAUUCACUGCCAUAUAAUCCAGAUGCUUGGUGGAGUCCUGUGCUGGCUCAUAAUCUGCUGCCCGAAGCAGCCCUCUUGACCCUGCUUCAUGUCUCCUUGACCACAGUUGGGGUUCUACUGGUUACGUCUGAAUGCAGACAGGCAAUUCUAAGCUCUCAUCCUGGGACAGCUUGGUCAUCUGUAUCAUACUGCCAAGUAAAGAGGACAUCAGGACCAAUGGCUGCCAGGUAGCACAAGGCAGCUUGGGAUAGCUUCCUGGGUGCAUGGCUCUGGAUCAACAUUUCCAACAAAUGGAGACAUAUGAUCAUGUGAAGUGCCAACCUUAGAUUACCUCCAAAUCUCUGGCUGGGAGAACCUCAAGUUCUGCACUAUCUGUAAAGUUAGCCAUGGUUUGCUAUCUGUGCACUUUAUUUGAGAGAAUACUUCCAAUUAAACACUGGUAGAAUCAGAAUGUAUACCUGUGGCUAAUCCCAUGCAUGGCAGCUCUCGCGAGAGUUCGUGAGCAGAAGCACUGCGGUGAUUGGGCAGUGGAGGUUCCAUAUGCAGAUAGGGAGGAGGAGCCUGUGAAAGCAGAAGCACCAUAAUGACUGGGCAGUGGGGAUUCCAUAUGCAGAUAGGGAGGAGGAGCCUGUGAUGGUUAAGAUGGUGACAGAAAUAGUGGUUAUGGCAACAAAAAGAAGACCAUUGCUGGACAUCAGCUGUAGUUCAAAAGCAAACUGUAAUAGCUAACCCCAAACUAUCAAAUGUUAAAGACUGUUUCUGCCUCAAGCCAUCUGUGUUGUAAAGCAAGAACUAUAUUGGUGAAACAGAUCCAAAUAAAACACAAGGGCCAACAUCCAAGUGAAUGCUGCACUGCACAAUCAUAUGGAGUAGAGCUAGUCUUGUGGUAGCAAGCAUGAAUGGUCCCAUUUGCUAAGCAGGAUCUACCCAGGUUUGCAUUUGAAUGGGAGACUACAUGUGAGCACUGUAAGAUAUUCCCAUUAGGGAUGGGCCGCUCUGGGAAGAGCACCAGCAUGCUUGUGUGCAGAAGGUUACAAGUUCCCUCCCUGGCAUCUCCAAGAUAGGGCUGGGAGAGACUCCUGCCUGCAACAUCGGAGAAGCCGCUGCCAGUCUGUAUAGACAAUACUGAGCUAGAUGGACCUGACUUUAGUGGUCUGACUCAAUAUAAGGCAGCUUCCUGUAUGUUCUUAUGUUACACUAGUGCAAAAAUGUUGCAUUAGCCAGAUACAUGAAGUAAGGAGCUUGCAUUCCUAACCAGUGUUGUGUUAAUGCAAACUGUUUGUGCUUGCAUAAAGUGAUGCAUCCUCACACGUUUUGCAGGGAACAAUUGUGCAAGAGCACAACUUUAAACAUCCGCGUGACUUCAUGCGGCUACACGACUUUCUUGCACUAGUUGCACAAGUUGAAUUGUAGAAAUGCAGCAUUAAUUUGGAUGUGGGCCAGUAAAACAAGAAAUUACCAUUCUGUCCAUAGAGCAAUACUAGUGAAAGGACUCCAGGCUAGUGUUAACUCUUUCCAUCUCGUGGAGGAAGCUGUAAAACUGGGGCAGCAACUCUACAUAUACAGGCUCAUUUGGGUUUCCUUGUUUAACUACCAGGUUUUCAGUUUGCAAGCAUUCUUCCUGUAUCACACAAUGUCCACAUGAUCUCCAUUCACUCAUGACUAGUUGAUGUCCAGAAGAGGUUAGAAAAAUGUGUUUAUACGGUAUCUUCUGCACUGAAGUUUAUUCAUGGUUUUUUAAAAAAAAUCUUAAGCAAGUUUCAUGGAAAUCUAACACAGAUUGAAAUAUAGUGAACUGGAAAAAUGGUCGUUGCUUCAUAAUUCAGUGAAAGACUGGACUUUCUGGUUGAAA